AUGGCGGCGGAGGGGGAGGUGUCGGGAACACUCGAUACCGCCGACGUGAUGAAGAUGGACGAGAAGGAGAAAACUGGAACACUCGGUGCCGCCGACUUGAUGAAGGUAGACGAGAAGAAGGAGAAGACUGUGGCGGUGCGCUCGGGGUUUCUCGGCGGCGGCGGCAAGGAGGAGACGUACAUCCGGGCCGACAUGAUCGACCUCGAGAACCUAGACGUCGAGAUGCAGAGGGAGUCCAUCGCCAAGACUCUGACUCUGGAGAAGCAGCGCCACAAGGACAAGGAUCAGCCCAUGGCGCCCUGGGAGAUCGACCUCGCGAAGCUAGAGGUGCACCACCGGAUAGCACCCGGGACCUUCGGCUCUGUGUAUCGCGCCACCUACGAAGGACGUCCUAGCCAAACUAUUGGAUUGGGGAGACGAUGGAGUUAUGCCAGAGACUGA
rnacentral:rRNA from 1 species